ensembl:lncRNA
AUGAGACUAGUAUUGGAAUGCAGUUACUGUAUUUCAGUAGGAAAACAUACCCUUUCAGUAGCUGAUUUGUUCCAGGUUUAGCAAACUGCUUUGAUAAUGGUGAAAUAAUUGAGUCUGGCGGAAGGCUUAAAUGUCACUGAGUUAUUGACUAAUCAGUGACCUUGUGGAGAAGAGGUGGGGGCAGGGGCAGACUUAGUGAUUUGGAGGCCCCAUGCACAGGCCAGUCUGUGCAUGGGGCCCCCCUCAGACUGACAUGUAAUCUGUAAAAUGUGUUACCUUUUAAUGUGCCAUGAACACAACCAGUCAUGAUGUUUUCAUCUGAUUGUCAAACAAAUCCCUUCAAAAAGUAGGUUAGAUUCACACGUUCAUCCAAAAUAAUUCCAGCAUCCGAACAGUGCACUGUGCACCAGCCAACGUUCCUUCAAUUCACAGGAUGGGAAGGAGGAGGUGAGGGAGGAUAGGAAGUAGGAGGUGAGGGAGGAUAGGAAGUAGGAGGUGAGGGAGGAUAGGAAGUAGGAGGUGAGGGAGGAUAGGAAGUAGGAGGUGAGGGAGGAUAGGAAGUAGGAGGUGAGGGAGGAUAGGAAGUAGGAGGUGAGGGAGGAUAGGAAGGAGGAGAUGAGGGAGGAUAGGAAGGAGGAGAUGAGGGAGGAUAGGAAGUAGGAGGUGAGGGAGGAUAGGAAGAGGAGGUGAAGGACGAUAGGAAGGAGGAGGUGGGGGAGGAUAGGAAGGAGGAGGUGAGGGAGGAUAGGAAGAGGAGGUGAAGGACGAUAGGAAGGAGGAGGAGAGGGAGGAUAGGAAGGAGGAGGUGAGGGAGGAUAGGAAGGAGGAGAUUAGAAAGGAGAAGGUUGUGUAAGAAAAAUUGAACACAAAUUAAAAUACUGUACUUACAGAUGUCUUUUUAGUUCCAGCCCCCAGAUUCUAUCCAGAACAAACUGAAACAUUUUGUAACAGUCAGUUUAUAGCCCUUCAGU